AGCGCCGAAGGAGUAAGACGAUCUUCUCCGCAACAGUGUUGAAUCCGGCUGAAAUUUUUUUUCCUCCCCGCCUCCUUUCUUGUUUUUCUUUAACCAGCUCCUCCCCCCUUCGUUCCCACCCUCAAGUCUGACGAUGACACCUCCAAUUUUGAUGAACCAGAGAAGAAUUCGUGGGUUUCAUCCUCUCCGUGCCAGCUGAGCCCCUCAGGUUUCUCGGGUGAAGAACUGCCGUUUGUGGGGUUUUCGUACAGCAAGGCACUGGGGAUUCUUGGUAGAUCUGAGUCUGUUGUGUCGGGUCUGGACUCCCCUGCCAAGACUAGCUCCAUGGAAAAGAAACUUCUCAUCAAAAGCAAAGAGCUACAAGACUCUCAGGACAAGUGUCACAAGAUGGAGCAGGAAAUGACCCGGUUACAUCGGAGAGUGUCAGAGGUGGAGGCUGUGCUUAGUCAGAAGGAGGUGGAGCUGAAGGCCUCUGAGACUCAGAGAUCCCUCCUGGAGCAGGACCUUGCUACCUACAUCACAGAAUGCAGUGUGAGCCUUCCCUGAAGCCCCCUUCCCUUGGAGGUGGCACUUCCUGUUGUGUGUGUCUCAUCCUGUUUCAUGAUGGCUCCAUGAGGCACAUCACAGCCAAUGGCAGAGAGUAGAGAGAGGGAGAGCACAAAAGCAAGAUCUGUGUUUUGCAGAGUAGUGAGAGCCAGGCGUAAGGUCCCCAAGAAAUGAGACUGGACUCAUUUCCAGCAGAAAGUGCAGGUAGAUGGCUGGUACCAUGGAGUCUGGGGAUGGGAGUAAUCCAUCUUUGCCGCAAGUUGCAAAAGAUCUUAACAUCUCCCAUCCCAGCCUCUGUGGUCUGCGUUGUGUCUGACAUGAGCAGCCUUGAGAACCAGACUCCCAACUAUGUACAAGAAAACUUGCUUUCAAUCUUCCUGACAUCAAAUUUUCCAUUGGCCAGAACCAGUGUAGUGACAAGAAAAUAGCCUUGAAAACCCAGACCCUCUGUCAUUAUUUACCAUGUGACUUUCAUUUUUUCUUUCCUUCACAAGAGUAGACUGUCUUCUUCUCCAUUGUCUUGUUAAAUUUUUCAUUCAGGUGUUUUUUUAAUGUGCCCAAUUAAACAGUCUUAAGAAGUUGAAUCACACAUUUCUAAAGUUUUUUUCACAAGGGAGAGGAAAUCUAUAGAACGUGGCUGAUUAAGAAUAACUGCUAUGUUUCCAUUCCAGACUUGGCUGCCUUUCAGUGGUGGGUGAAGUUAUUCAGCUAUGUAUUUCAGAUAUAGAUUUCAGUGCCAUUGAAGCAUUAAGGGAUUCUUAUGGAUGAAAGGUGUCCAGGAAAAAUAAGCCAGGAGGUAGAAAUAGACCACUUGGAGUCUUAAAUGACAACUGGGCAGAGGAUAUGAAGUCAUUGCUACUUUGAAAGAGGCAUAUGUACUUUAGGGCCCACAAAUAACUGUAGAAAACACUUUGUAGCCAUCCACAUGGUGGCUGUAAUAGCUACUGGGUCUUAAUAGGUUUUAGUCCUGAACAUGCAAGUAAGUAUCUCCUAGGACAGGUAGAUGGUGGCAGGAGACAGGCUGAUGCAGUUUCUGGCUGGAUCCCUAAGGUCACCAGGUUGAGAUGAUGUUUCUUGAACCAAGGGGUUUUACAGGAUGGAAACCGGAAUCGGCAACCAACUGGAAGUUGUGAACUGUGGUCCGUCACUCGAAACCGUCCUGGUGUCUGCGAAGCAGCUUGCAGCUCUCUUAAUGAGUCUUUUCAAACAAAGCAGGAUCCACAGGGCAUCCCUAUUAAAAUUUUUGCUUUCUGCAGAGCUUAAAGCGAAGUUUGGAGCAAGCACGGAUGGAGGUGUCCCAGGAGGAUGACAAAGCACUGCAGCUUCUCCAUGAUAUCAGAGAGCAGAGCCGGAAGCUCCAAGAAAUCAAAGAGCAGGUAGGCCUGCUUGCCUGGGAGCACAGCAGCAUCUCGGCUCGCUUGGACCUCUAAUUUCAGGAGAGGCAUGUUUGAGAGAGAAAUAGGAAGAAAGGGAGAGAGAGAAAGGGUGGGGGCAGAGUGGAAGAGAGACAGGUAUGUAGGUCAUUCAGAAACUUCAGAUUUCUCAUAAUUUAUAUACAUCAUAGAAUGCUUGUUCCAGCUCCUUUUGAAGCUGAUACCCCAUAAUGUCUGCUUUUAAAAAUAAAGAUGUAGGUUUAGAGCAAGAGUGGGCAAACUUCAGCCUGUGGGGCAAAGCUGGUCCAACACCUAUUUUCUAUGGCCCACAAGCUAAGAAUGGGGUUACGUUUUUAAACAGUUGG
rnacentral:sRNA from 1 species